rnacentral:rRNA from 1 species
GCGUGAGUGAAGAAGGCCCUAGGGUUGUAAAGCUCUUUCGCCGGUGAAGAUAAUGACGGUAACCGGAGAAGAAGCCCCGGCUAACUUCGUGCCAGCAGCCGCGGUAAUACGAAGGGGGCUAGCGUUGUUCGGAAUUACUGGGCGUAAAGCGCGCGUAGGCGGACAGUUAAGUCAGGGGUGAAAUCCCGAGGCUCAACCUCGGAACUGCCUUUGAUACUGGCUGUCUAGAGUUCGAGAGAGGUAAGUGGAAUUCCGAGUGUAGAGGUGAAAUUCGU